rnacentral:rRNA from 1 species
ACGAGGAGACGCUGGCGGCAUGCUUAACACAUGCAAGUGGAGCGACGAACCUUUUAGGGGCAAAGCCGCGAACGGGUGAGUAACACGUGAGCAAUCUGCCCCUGACUCUGGGAUAACAGCUGGAAACAGCCGCUAAUACCGGAUACGAGCUGCGAAGGCAUCUUCAGCAGCUGGAAAGAAUUUCGGUCAGGGAUGAGCUCGCGGCCUAUCAGCUUGUUGGUGAGGUAAUGGCUCACCAAGGCGUCGACGGGUAGCCGGCCUGAGAGGUUGAUCGGCCACAUUGGGACUGAGACACGGCCCAGACUCCUACGGGAGGCAGCAGUGGGGAAUAUUGCGCAAUGGGGGAAACCCUGACGCAGCAACGCCGCGUGAAGGAUGAAGGUCUUCGGAUUGUAAACUUCUUUGAUGAGGGACGAACACAAUGACGGUACCUCAAAAACAAGCCACGGCUAACUACGUG